CAGGGGUUAGUUUAUUAAAAAUUUUGGCCUUGGAUGCCAAUAAAGGGGCUAUUGCCCUCUCCCUGA
rnacentral:tRNA from 1 species